CAUUUCUUGGCUUUUGCAGUUCAGUUCAGCUUCAGCACUAAAAAUAACAAACAAGUCAGGCCUCCAAAACACACACAGGUUGUUUAAAAACUGUGAACAUUUAAAAAAUAACACAUCUGAAGAUACUUUAUUUAUUUCUGUCAUUUUAGCCUUACUGUACCAUCAUAAGAGACAUAAAGUUUAAAUCAGAGUCGGAAGAAAAAAACUCUAGAAGACGCAGUCUUAAAAAUACUAAAACUACAGGAAUUUUGGUAAGGGGUGAGAGGAGACAGCACUCCAAUACAAGCUGGAAAGAUUUCAUGCAUGAACAUAUAAAAGUCUUGCCCAUGUAAACCAAUGUGAAUGACAAUUAUAGAACUGAUUUUCCAAGACUCUGUGGCAGACUGGAAGUGAGACAGAGCUCUUCUAAUUUCUGGUGUCUACAAGCACAGAAAAAGAAUACAAGACCGAUGGCAAACCCCACACAUGUUUGUGAAUAUAGGAUGGCUCAAGCUGCACACCCAACUCUGAUCAUCAGCUGGGAGCCACACUAAUCAUUUGUUGUGACCACAUAUUUAAAUCCCAGGAAGCAGACAAGAUGUCAAGCUACCAUCACAACACAGUUUUCAUCUUUGCAGACUGCAAAAUUAGUGUUAGAUCUUCAGCAAAACUGUAACACCAAAUAAAUAUUAUGUAAAGGCAGUACA
rnacentral:lncRNA from 1 species